rnacentral:rRNA from 1 species
UAAGCAUAUUAAUAAGCGGAGGAAAAGAAACCAACCGGGAUUCCCUAAGUAAGGGCGACUGAAAGGGGAUGAGCCCAGCGCAGAACCUCAGGGUCACUUGUGGCUGUUGAGGGGUGUUGCGUUUCGGUGGAUCCGUACCGGUCUUCUUGCUGACCGCCUAAGUGAUUGCUUGAAUGCAGCCCCUAGGAGGGUGGUAGGCCCGUGUGGCGGGGCCUUUGAAAAGGUUUGAGGCAAGUUGAUGGGAUGGAUUUUAACCGUAGAGUCGGGUUGCUUAGUACUGCAGCCCUAAGUAGGUGGUAAACUCCAUCUAAGGCUAAAUACUAACACGAGUCCGAUAUUUGACAAGUACCGUGAGGGAAAGCUGAAAAGGACUCUGAAGAGAGAGUUCAAAAGGACGUGAAACCAUUAGAAGCUUAAACGGGUGGAACUGUGAUGGUCGAAAGAGGGGAUUCAGUCUGUGGGCGCAGGCACACUGCCUUUAGUUGGUUAUGUGAGAGGACCGUGGGUACUAGUGAGUUACCGUGGCAGCUUUAGGUGUGUGUGUAGCGUGGGCAGACUUAGUUGUACCUCGAGUAGCGUUGGUGGCGACCCGCUAGUUGGAGCCCGAGGUUGCUUUAGGACUGGUAGCGUGUACCUUUGGGUGUGCGUGAGGACCUUUGGUUUGCUGAGUGGCUUUGACUGGCGGUCACUGGAAGGAGGCAGGAGAGAAAAAUUGCCUCUCGCCACGAUGGAGAGAUCGGUAAUCCACCCGACCCGUCUUGAAACCG